AUUGAACGCUAGCGGGAUGCUUUACACAAGCAAGUCGAACGAGUGGCGGACGGGUGAGUAAUAUCUCGGAACGUGCCCAGUAGCGGGGGAUAACUAAUCGCAAGAGUGGCUAAUACCGCAUACUAUCGGGUCGGCCGAUAGCGGAUUAGCUAGUUGGUGGGGUAAAGGCUCACCAAGGCAACAAUCCGUAGCUGGUGUGAGAGGACGACCAGCCACACUGGGACUGAGACACGGCCCAGACUCCUACGGGAGGCAGCAGUGGGGAAUUUUGGACAAUGGGGGAAACCCUGAUCCAGCCAUCCCGCGUGUAUGAGAAGGCCUUCGGGUUGUAAAGUACUUUUGGCAGAGAAGCGGUAUCUGCAGAAUAAGCACCGGCUAACUACGUGCCAGCAGCCGCGGUAAUUC
rnacentral:rRNA from 1 species